UCUGCCCCACCCAAACCCAAAACGCCCCCCCUCGGUGAGCCAACCCGGGUUUAGUCCGUCAGCAGCCGGACUGCGCCUCCGCCUCACUCCGCGCGCGGGACGCAGACAGGAUGCGCUCGGGUUCCCCGCAGAACCGCACUGACUGACGCAUCGGUUCGGCAGGAGGACCCGAACGACGGCGGAAAUUGACGGAAUGGUCCCAGCGGAAACCGAGCGCCUUUAACUGCUGACCGGAGCUACAGGAGGUCCAGGAGCCUCGUUUUUCUUCAAUGUUGGACAUUUCUGAAAGGAGCAGAGAGGCAGACGUUCUUCAGCCUGGAAGGGGCUUUUGUUGCACAGCCAGCAUCCCUUCCAGAUGGUGUCUUCUACAGGGCUUUCAGUGAGAUGUGGCUUUGAGAAUUAUCCUUCAUCCUCCUGCCAUGGUCUCCCUCAUCCCAUUCUUCCAUUUCUGCAUCUCCAGCUAUACUUUAAUGGUUUGAUGGAGAGCUGGGC